CAGUAGCCGCGGUAAUACGUAGGGUGCAAGCGUUAAUCGGAAUUACUGGGCGUAAAGCGUGCGCAGGCGGUUCGCUAAGACAGAUGUGAAAUCCCCGGGCUUAACCUGGGAACUGCAUUUGUGACUGGCGGGCUAGAGUAUGGCAGAUGGGGGUGGAAUUCCGCGUGUAGCAGUGAAAUGCGUAGAUAUGCGGAGGAACACCGAUGGCGAAGGCAGCCCCCUGGGCCAACACUGACGCUCAUGCACGAAAGCGUGGGGAGCAAACAGGAUUAGAUACCCCGGUAGUCCCUGUCUCUUAUAC
rnacentral:rRNA from 1 species